UACGUAGGGUGCGAGCGUUAAUCGGAAUUACUGGGCGUAAAGCGCACGUAGGCGGCUUAGCAAGUCGGAUGUGAAAGCCCUCGGCUCAACCAAGGAAGUGCAUCCGAAACUGCUGAGCUUGAGUACUUAAGAGGAUCGCGGAAUUCCCGGUGUAGAGGUGAAAUUCGUAGAUAUCGGGAGGAACACCAGUGGCGAAGGCGGCGACCUGGACAGGCACUGACACUCAACUACGAAAGCGUGGGGAGCAAACAGG
rnacentral:rRNA from 1 species